ACCCCACUGACGAGUGCCAAAUAGCACGAAACUCGGGUCCAGGGU
rnacentral:hammerhead_ribozyme from 1 species